UUGGGAAUCUUGGACAAUGGGGGAAACCCUGAUCCAGCCAUGCCGCGUGAGCGAUGAAGGCCUUCGGGUCGUAAAACUCUUUCGACGGGGACGAUAAUGACGGUACCCGUAGAAGAAGCUCCGGCUAACUUCGUGCCAGCAGCCGCGGUAAUACGAAGGGGGCUAGCGUUGUUCGGAAUUACUGGGCGUAAAGCGCGCGCAGGCGGUCUUCCAAGUCAGUGGUGAAAGCCCGGAGCUCAACUCCGGAACUGCCAUUGAAACUGUUGGACUUGAGGAUGAGAGAGGUGAGUGGAAUUCCCAGUGUAGAGGUGAAAUUCGUAGAUAUUGGGAAGAACACCGGUGGCGAAGGCGGCUCACUGGCUCAUUACUGACGCUCAGGCGCGACAGCGUGGGGAUCAAACAGGAUUAGAUACCCUGGUAGUCCACGCCGUAAACGAUGAAUGCUAGCCGUUGGGCGGCUUGCUGUUCAGUGGCGCAGCUAACGCAUUAAGCAUUCCGCCUGGGGAGUACGGCCGCAAGGUUGC
rnacentral:rRNA from 1 species